rnacentral:misc_RNA from 1 species
UGCAAGUUUAUGUUGGCAUUCUAAGAAUCUAGAGAAAACUAUAUUUAUAAUGUAAAUAAUGUACAUGUAUGGUCUUAUAUGUAUGCAUCUUAUUUAUUACUGAAUUUUCUCAAAUCAUGCUCAUGGUAUAUAAGUUAUAGUUGUUAAUAUGCAUUAUAUUUUUAUAUUUCUAUUCCUGUGUGUGUAUAUAUGUAUAUCCUUUAUCAUAUUUAUUGUUGGAAUCAAUGUUUUACAUCUGUGAUUUGAAGAAAAACAUAUUGCUUAUUUUUUAUGAUUUGUUAAUAUGUUAUUGUUGUAAUGAAAAUAUUUAAAAAGAAAAAUAUGGUUAAAAAUAAUUAAGUAAUUUAGUAUGUUGAGUCUAUUUUCCUGACCAUUAUGUCACAAGAUGACAAAGAUGGUGUAUUUGUUAAAAAGAAAAAAAAAUGAAUAGAAAAAGACGUCAAAGUGGUUUCUAAAGCUCUUGUUGUCUCGUGACUUGUGAAUUGUUAAUCAAUGUAUUCGAUACAAUUUGUUAUUUUGUGGUCAUGAUGGUUUGACCCAAUAAUUAUUAUUGCAUUACAAGGCAUCUUCUAUUUUCAUUCAUACGUGUUUUGAUUUUAAAGUAUGAUAUACGGUUUGUGUGAAUGUGAAUAAAGUCUUAUUAUGAUAAUCU